GCAUUGGUGGUUCAGUGGUAGAAUUCUAGCUUGACAUGUUGGAGGCCUGGGUUCUGAACCAUAAACUCAGAGAAUACC